rnacentral:lncRNA from 1 species
GUGCAAUAUAGAUGGGUUUCCACACCUAUCCGCGGGCUAUCAUCGGCCUAAAUAGGUUGCACAAGAUCGAAGAAGCACAACUAGUCCAUGGGAAGAAAAGCAUUGGGACGAAAAUAAAAACUGAGUCCGGGCAUUUUCGAGCGGUUCGUGUGGGAAAAAACCUUGAUAUUACUCAGAGUGAGGCCUCCUAGUAGUUAUAUGUGAAUUUUCGGGACGGUUCUCACAUGGUUAAAAAUCGGCCGAUUUUCGGUAUGGUAAAGCCUUGGCCAUUUUUGGACCGUUUUUUGCGCAACCGUUGUGCACCCCGAACGAGCCCCACCCGACCCCUAGGCCCUGGGCUUUUUUAUGUGUCAUAAUGGGUGCAAUAUAGAUGGGUUUCCACACCUAUCCGCGGGCUAUCAUCGGCCUAAAUAGGUUGCACAAGAUCAAAGAAACAAAACUAGUCCAUGGGAAGAAAAGCAUUGGGACGAAAAUAAAAACUGAGUCUGGGCAUCUCCGAGCGGUUCUUGUGGGAGAAAACUUUAAUAUUACUCAGAGUGAGGCCUCCUAGUAGUUAUCUGUGAAUUUUCGGGACGUUUCUCACAUGGUUAAAAAUCGGCCGAUUUUCGGUAUGGUAAAGCCUUGGCCAUUUUUGACCG